UAGAAGUGGUUUUGAGGGUCUCAGCAAGGAGUACUGGAACUGAAAAGAAACUCACAAGAAGAUUCUCCUCAGUGCCUAAGCUGGUGAAAGACCCCAAGGUUAAAAGAUUAGUUCACAGAGGAGCUUUCUGUAGGAGACUUUGCUGUAAAGUUCAUGGAUCUUUCAGAGGAUGCAGAGAAGUAUGAGGAUAGGGGUUUGCACAAGUGCCUGGUAUACAGGCCUAAGGUGGAUACAAAGAACUUGUGCUUUGUUGCUGAGAGAAAGAACAGAGGCAGAUCCCUUGCUAUUAACUCCAAAAACUUUUCUACUUUGCUGAGGCAGGAAAUGUCUCCUUUCAAGGUCACUCCUUCAAUCAGUACACUGUCUUUACUGUUUGCAGGAGCUAUAACUUAAGGACUUCCUGGGGAUGUGCUACAUACAUGGGAUGAGUCGGCACAGUAAGUUUGUUAGGUACUUACUUGCGAUCCUGUAUCAGCUCCUUCCUGAGAGAGACAUUAUCUAUCCUUUUAAUAUCAAAGAGCUCCAGUGCUAGAGAAAUACUUACUAGUUUCCACCUAGAAGAUCCCUUGGUCAGGGUUGCAAACUACAGGUGAAAUACCAGCUUAGUCGAUACUGAGACAAACUCUGGAUAAUUAAGCAUUGAGUUCCAAAACAAGGAAGAAUGUGAAGACUGGAACAAGGAAUGAGUUGCCCAUCAUAAUGGCAAUCCAGAGGUUUUCCUAAGUGGGAGCAGCUGAGAGGCUAGAUUGAAGCUCUGAGCUGCAGUAACCAGGACAACAUACAAGCAUUAAUAAAAGGCACCUGGGGCACAAGAUUAUUCAUCAAGAUCAGACACCUCACAGCCCAGAUAGAUGGAUAAAAAAAUAGCUUGGCCCCAGUCUUGCAAUGAAUGCCACAAGACCCCACAUCUAUGCAGGUGCACGGCCUAUGAGAACAUAACUCUUCUAACGAGGACAGUUCUACUAAAUUUCAUUGGACUAGGCAACUCCAACAUUCUCGGUGCCUGUUACCUGCACAGUGAUUACUAUUUUCAGAUGUUCCUCACUCGGAAGAGGAUGCAGGAGAGUAAGGAUCAAUGGUCAACUGGGUUUUCACUGGAUUGACAAGCUAAAAACUCUUCUAAGGACAGAAAGCUGCUGCAGUAUGUUGCUCCCCAUCAGACAAGAUUGUGAUGGUGCAUCAUUAAUAGAAUGACGUGGACCCAUGCCAAACACACUAGUGGUCCAGGGGAGUCUAACGAUACCAAGAUGUGGAGCCAGUCUUGUGAAGUGCUGAAUACGCUCAAUUCAGGAAGUCAACAAUAGUUGAAGAGAUCAACCUCUGAUGCAUAGAAGAUGUACCAACUGCGUAUAUUCACAUGUGAUCACAUGCAACAAGGUUCUUAACCUGGGAAUCAAGAACUCAUUUGAAGGAUCAUAAAUAGCUUUCUUUACCUUUCUGGCUAGAUUGGAAGGCAGUACCCAACUCAUUGCUCUUGUAAUAUAAUGUCUCGGUAUAGAAAAGUCAGGGAACCUCUGAACUAAGUGAAUCUGUUACAGAGGUGAUUGUCCCUGUACAUCUGCUUUGGGUGUUAGAGGCUCUGUGUAGUUGCUGGCCACAGAAAGAAAGAUGCUGAAAAACUGCAAAAGGUUGAGAAGACAGCUACAAGAGUCAUCAAAGGUCUGAAAACACCUGCCUAGCAGCAAGAGACUUAUAAUACCCUAUUUAGUUUUAUAUACACAAACCAUUAUGUUAAAUUUAAAAAAAGGUUGCAAAGUCAUUUAAAAAAUAGAGAAUGCCAGACUCAAGGUUGCUACCUUAAAAUGGUCUCCUUAUACAGAUGCAUUAUGACAGUUUUUAAUUACACAAUCCCACACUAUUAUUUAUUCUUCCCCCUGCUCCCAGGAAAAUAAGCUGAAUUUAGCUGACUAUGUGCAAACUGCAUUUUUUUCAAAUAUUUAUAACUUGUCUAUACUUGGAGUUAUUUUUUUCUCAAUGUGGCAAAAAGCACAUCUCCAAAAGAGAAACCACCCUCUACCAAAUUUCAAGUAGUUGCUUCAAAAUUUGGGUGUGCUUGAGCUUUUCAAAGUAAAUAAUACCAGUAUGUAACAGGAUAUUUUUUCCUAGCCUUGUACUCAGAAGCAGCUGAAAGAUUAUGGGUGAAAUUUCUAAAGAAAAAAUGCAUGUGGGAGAAAGGUGUCUCUGCCAGUCAAGCUGGGAAGGACAAGACCCGAGGUAGACAUUUGGCACAGAAUAUCAUAGCGCAGAUAAAUAAAUUGGGCAAAACUGCAAGCAGCUAAAAAUAUGUUCCUGUUAAGGUAGCCCAAAGACUUCCCCUUCUAAUAAUAGGCAGCACUCUGGUAAGUAAGGUUAUGAAGUGAGUGACUUGGUCACAGUCUAUAAGUACUCAGCAGGAAAGGAAUCUCUGGUCAUUUAAUCUAGUAGUAAAUGACAAGCAGACCCAGGUAGACAUUCAGGCAGGAAACAAGGCACUGAUUUUUAACAGAGUAAUUAACCAUUCGAACAACUUACUAAAGGAUAUGACACAUUGCCCCCUCACUUGAGGUCUUCCUAGACAGUACUGCCUAGUUCAACCAGAAGUUUGGGCUUAAGCAAAGAAUCACAGAGUGAAAUACUAUGGCUUAUGUUAUGCACAAGGUCAACACAGACAUCAUAAUAGUGUCUUCUCGUCCAAAAAUCCAUUAAUUUAUGUCCCUGCCCAUUUACUAGUAUUCAUGCAUGGCUUAUUACCAUAGUAAUGAAGUGCUGUACAAAGACUGAAAACUGUAAGAUGUAUCUAAGCAGUUGACUCUCUCUUUACACGUGACUGGGGACCAUGCAAUGACCAUGCUAUUCUUGUUCCCUGUUCCAUUUGUGAUAUAACCUUGGGCUGUUACUUUCUUGAGUGCUGUAGUAUUUUCCUGUUCAGAUUCUGUGGGGAAUGCUGUGAGGGAAAGGUGCGUCUUGCAGUCAUGCUGGGAAGGACAAAACCUUUGGCUGAUACUUACAGGAGUUGUGACUCUUCUGGUUCUUCCUGCUCCCUCAAGUCCAAGAGGUCCAACCAUGGCUAAGAAAAUCCAUUUUAGAGAGGGCUUUCCUACCCAGCACCAAAAUCUUGAAUGGGAUUACACAGUGUUAAGGGAGCUAGUGUAAAUUAUAGAGUCUAUAUAGCAUGCUGCCUUGUUUGCUCCUUCCUCAACCAUCACAGCUCCGAGGAAAAAUAAGUCUUAAUCAGAGAAAACUGUCCAGCAGCUAUUUCUUGCUGGAUUGAUGGACAUAGUUAUUAACCUGAGUUAUCAACAGCCACAUUCCUUGUUCUUUCCUGGAGCAAAAAUUGUACUGGCUUCUGAAAGCCAGCAACAGUCACAAAAAACAAAUGAAUGCUGGCAACUGAAAGGGAACAGUAAAUUCUGAUCCCCUGAGAAAAUCCUGACAUAUGCAGCUCAUACUUCAUUGUCACUGUGACUGAAACUACAGAAACUAGGACAAUUAAAUUCUUCUGUGUACUCAUGCUGUUUAUUCUGGUGGAAGCCUCAGUUUUGAACCUGUACAAAGCUGAACACUAAAAUAUUUUAGCUGUAAAGGAGUUCCCUUUUAGACCCAUGCAAAAUGGUAACAAUUUACAUGGUCAAGUUACAACAAAAGGGGACAGAUUUUCAAAAAAUUGGGAAAAUCUGGCAGGGGCAUCACAAAAGGAGAUGGAUGAAGUUUGUGAGGGGUAAGGAGAAAAUAGCCUGAUUUAGAUGGGAUCUGAACCAGCUUAAAUAAAUUGUCUCCAACUGGGGGAGUGAAGCAGUUGACAACAUGGCCUAGUUAAGCUUAACUUGACCUACUUUCUCAGUGCAAAAUGGCCAGGUGUAAAUGAUGUACUCUAGUAAGGGGUUCAAGUUAGCGUUAAUUGUACCAAAUUCAACCUGACCAUUUAAAUUAGGAGUGUGCAACUCCUAGCCUGCAGGCCAGUUCUAGUGCCCUGGUGCCUUGUCAUCUAGCCCAUAGGGCUCCCCACAGGGUCAUGGGGAGCCCCGCCAGCCAUGGCUCUGCACACUACUGCAAGACCUGAUCCUGGCACACAGAACUGGGCAGAGGCAGUGUGGGGUCCCAUGGUCUUAGGACUCCAAUCCUAGCACAUGAGGCUGGGCAGAGAUGGCACAGGACCCUAGAGCCCUAUCUCCAUAUGCAGGACUAAGUGGAGGUGGCAUGGGUCCUUGGGGUCCUGAUCCCAGUGCACAGAGCCUGAUAGAGGAAGCACAGGAUCCUCCAGCCCCUAUCCCAAUGCAUAGGACUAGGCAGAAGCAGCACAGGAUCCUGGGACCCUGCAGAGCUACCACUGAUAUAAAUGGUUAAUGCAUUUCUCCCAGUGUAAUAUUAGCAAACAAUGAUGACGUUUGUAUAGAUUGAUUUUUCUAUUUCUACAUUGGCUUUUAUUAUGUGGUGAUUGUUUUGGAGUCAACAUGAUAUAAUCACACUGAUGAAGGAAAAGGAAUAUAUUGUUAAAAUGGUAUAUAUUUUUGCCAAUAGACAGGACAUUCAUAUGAAAGGCAUGACUUGAACACCAUUUAACAUCAUUGAAAGAGAGGCACCAAACCAAGAAAGCACUUUGCCCAUUCAUCUGGAUGGCUCUGAUCACCACAGGCUCCUCAGAGUAUACGUGGAUUAUAGUUGCUGUUCUAGUUUUUCAGGAGAAAUGUUAAUGAAUGAUACCAAGAAAACUCCUUAUGGAGAGGUCACAGAGUUUUCUGUCUCAUAGCUGUAGUAACCAUGUCAGACAGAUUUGCCCUGGUAUGUUUUCCUUCUCUAUUAAAAUAAAAGAGUAGGAAUACUCCAGAAAUUACCACAUACUUCUGUAUUUUGGAUUUUUCUUAGGACUGCUCCAAACAGCAUUUACACCUUCCCAAACUUUGAUGGGAAACCUGUGGUUGUCUUAUUUAUAGUGUCCCUGUGGAAUGGAUAUUUCCUGUUAGCAUUUGAGAUGCAAAGAACAACUCGAUUUCUUUCUUUCUGUGAGGAACAAAAAUAUUGAUUUUUCUGUGGCUUAAUAUUAGCAAAGUAAAUUGCUUUCCCACUUUCUCUGCUUAACUUUAACUGUGUUAUAUUUAAACCAAAAGGUUCAGGGGG